UGUGUGUGUGUGUGUGUGUGUGUGUGUGUAUUUAGGGGAGGGGGCAGUUUGGGGUAUUCAAAAAGAAAGAAAAUUUACAAAAUUAAGUUACAGAGAAAUGAACAGAGUUCUUACAUUAUGACAUGAUGGACCCACAUCUUUACAUUAUCAGGGAUUUAAAAAACAUUUCAAAGAAAAAGACAAAAUUGCUCUGUAAUAAUAAUACCUGACAUUUGUAUAAUCCUUCAUAGUUUACAAAGUGCUUUGAACUAUGCAUUAUUUUGUUUGCUCACUGUAGAAACUCAUACUUUUCAAAAGCAACUGUGAGGCUUCAUUGCAGUGGAGGUGCAUGAUGUGGAGAUUUAUCCUACAGGAUGCCUUUUAGGUGCAACUUGGCCAUCUUCUUAAUCUUCUGAAAAAGCACAUUGCCCAACAUGAACUAAGGUUUAUAGAUGCCAAAUAUUACAAAAGAAUGGAAAACAAUCUGCUGGCAAACAGGGCAUUUUAGAAUUUUCCACUCAUCUCCCAUUUACUACUUAGGAGUUGAUAGUUAUUUUAAGGGGAUGAUGGCUUGAAUACCAAGAUAUCAUCUAACAGACUUUCUUUUAAUUCAUUUUUGUUUAUUGUUGUUGUUGUUUAGUUUUGCUGAGUGAUUCUUCAACCUGAAGUUUUAUACAAACAACUGCACAAUUUUCACAGUCCUCACUCUAAAUCCUGAUUCUCAAGUAACAUAUAACAUCCCGUCCUGGGGAAAUUACCCCUGUCUAGGUGUGGCUCUCCACCAGAGGACUCAGAAAUGGGAAAAUGAUCAUCUCUCAGGACAGAGUCACAUUACCCAAGCUCCUAAAACCAAUGUAAGAAGACUGCAAGCUGCCCAAGCUCAGUUUCCCUGGAACCAGACUCUACUCCCCAUCCAUUGGUCUCCCUAUAAAGGUAUCAUGGAAACUCUGCCGUCUUCAAGAAAUGGUUUCCAAAGUCACUCUGACCAUCAACAUCCAAUGUUGGACAAGAAAAGAAAAAAAGUGUGAAGAGGCCGCCUUGAUUUGCCACAACAUCCACCUGCAGGGACGGAGAGCACUCUGCUCUGACACUGCCAUUGAAGACAAGUGGCCCAGCCCCUCUGGGCCACUAGACAGAAGUGGGAAGAACUUCUGUGAAGUGCCGGUCUGGCUGGGAACCACCUCAUUCUGCAUGGUAGAAGGAAAAUAUGAAUCUUUGGUAGACAGUAGCCACCUCUGCCAUAAGUUCUUUGUGAUAUCUCCAAAUACUACAGGUUCCAUUGUUUCCAGAAUACAUACAUAGAAAAGCACCUCUCACAUCAGCAAGGGGCUUAUUCUGUAAGUGACCUGAUGUUGGAGUUGCAGUUCUGGAAGCAGAGUUCAAAGCUAAAAGCAAAUUUCUCAUCCCUGUCUCAGAAUAGAACUAGUCUUAUUAACUAGACAAACAGCGAUCAGUCUUGAUUUGAGGAAGGCCAAUCUAAAUCAAUGGAAAGCCUAAAAUUAUUUUAUUUUAUUUUAUUUUAAAUUUUAUUUUAUUUUAUUGGUGAGUUCUUGCUUUGUUGCCCAGGCUGGAGUGCAGUGGCGCAAUUAUAGCUCACUCUAGUCUCGAACUCCUGGGCUCAUAAGAUCCUCUCACCUCAGCCUCCUGAGUAGCUGGGACAGCUGGACACCACCAUACCCAGCCAAUUUUUUACUUUGUAGAGACAGGGUCUCACUAUGUUGCCCAGGCUGGUCUUGAACUAUUUCUUUUUAAAUAUAAGAAGAUGUAUUAUUUUUACGUAAAUGAAGCAACUGAAAGGAGGGAAAGAUGAGGAAGGAACUAAUAUUUAUUGAGUAUCUAUAGGUACCAUAUGCUGCCAUAUAAUGAAGUAGCUAGAUAUUCUCUGUGUGCUAACUCAGUCUUUACUAGAUCCCCAGAGGGUGAAGAAGGAAUUGGGGCACAGAGAAAUCAAGUGAUUUGAAAUCCCUUGAUUUACCAAAGCUCACACAGCUAUUAAGUGGUGAGCGGGGAUUAGCACUGAGAAUUCUGUGGCUCUAAGGCCAAGGCACAACUUUCCACAGCAUAUGUCCUCAAUGUGGCCUCAAACAUGCUGCUCCUCAUUAACUGUUGUAGACUAGAGCAAGAUGGAGAGAAACUGGCACAUCUGAGAUGUGUACAUGAGUGGCAGAUUCUAAGAUACAAUUUUAAAAUAUUCUGUUCUCUUGAACUUUUAAACAGUGUUUUCCCUACUUAUUCACAUGAUCCAUUCGUACUUUCUCUACAGAACAUUUUUCUUGUUGAAUAAAAUCUUCAGCUGACUCUCCAUCAAGUCAUUGCUCCUUCAGUAUCCACAGACACGCGGCUGCAGCAUCCUUCCCUUAGGUACUGGAGUUCCUGCUUCUAAGGCCUAGUGAAUCAGGAAGAAAAAAAAAUCGUGUAUGGGCUUAAUUAGGCAUAAUUGGAAGCAUUCUCUUCUUUUUAUGAAGGACCUUAAAAAU
rnacentral:lncRNA from 1 species